CUAAGCAUAUCAAUAAGCGGAGGAAAAGAAACCAACAGGGAUUGCCCUAGUAACGGCGAGUGAAGCGGCAACAGCUCAAAUUUGAAAUCUGGCUCUUUCAGAGUCCGAGUUGUAAUUUGCAGAGGGCGCUUUGGCUUUGGCAGCGGUCCAAGUUCCUUGGAACAGGACGUCACAGAGGGUGAGAAUCCCGUACGUGGUCGCUAGCUAUUGCCGUGUAAAGCCCCUUCGACGAGUCGAGUUGUUUGGGAAUGCAGCUCUAAAUGGGAGGUAAAUUUCUUCUAAAGCUAAAUAUUGGCCAGAGACCGAUAGCGCACAAGUAGAGUGAUCGAAAGAUGAAAAGCACUUUGGAAAGAGAGUCAAACAGCACGUGAAAUUGUUGAAAGGGAAGCGCUUGCAGCCAGACUUGCUUGCAGUUGCUCAUCCGGGCUUUUGCCCGGUGCACUCUUCUGUAGGCAGGCCAGCAUCAGUUUGGGCGGUGGGAUAAAGGUCUCUGUCACGUACCUCUCUUCGGGGAGGCCUUAUAGGGGAGACGACAUACCACCAGCCUAGACUGAGGUCCGCGCAUCUGCUAGGAUGCUGGCGUAAUGGCUGUAAGCGGCCCGUCUUGAAACACGGACCAAGGAGUCUAACAUCUAUGCGAGUGUUUGGGUGUCAAGCCCGAGCGCGUAAUGAAAGUGAACGGAGGUGGGAACCCGCAAGGGUGCACCAUCGACCGAUCCUGAAGUUUACGGAAGGAUUUGAGUAAGAGCAUGGCUGUUGGGACCCGAAAGAUGGUGAACUAUGCUUGAAUAGGGUGAAGCCAGAGGAAACUCUGGUGGAGGCUCGCAGCGGUUCUGACGUGCAAAUCGAUCGUCAAAUUUGGGCAUAGGGGCGAAAGACUAAUCGAACUAUCUAGUAGCUGGUUCCUGCCAAU
rnacentral:rRNA from 1 species